GGGCUUCGGCCCCGGUAAAGUGGCGCACGGGUGAGUAACACGUAGGUAACCUACCCUCGAGUGGUGGAUAACCCUCCGAAAGGAGAGCUAAUACAGCAUAAGACCACGGCAUUCCGAUGCUGCGGAAAAAGCGGGCCUCUCUAUAGAAGCUCGUGCUCGAGGAUGGGCCUGCGGCCCAUCAUGCUAGUUGGCGAGGUAAUGGCUCACCAAGGCUAAGACGGGUAGCUGGUCUGAGAGGAUGAACAGCCACACUGGAACUGAGACACGGUCCAGACUCCUACGGGAGGCAGCAGUGGGGAAUCUUGCGCAAUGGGCGAAAGCCUGACGCAGCGACGCCGCGUGAGCGAUGAAGGCCUUCGGGUUGUAAAGCUCUGUGGGGAGGGAAGAAUAAGCCUAGGCUAAUACCACUAGGUGAUGACGGUACCUCCUUAGCAAGCACCGGCUAACUCUGUGCCAGCAGCCGCGGUAAGACAGAGGGUGCAAACGUUGUUCGGAAUUACUGGGCGUAAAGCGCGUGUAGGCGGCUAUGCAAGUCGGGCGUGAAAUCCCACGGCUCAACCGUGGAAGUGCACUCGAAACUGCGUAGCUAGAGUCCCGGAGAGGAAGGUGGAAUACUUGGUGUAGAGGUGAAAUUCGUAGAUAUCAAGUGGAACACCGGUGGCGAAGGCGGCCUUCUGGACGGUGACUGACGCUGAGACGCGAAAGCGUGGGGAGCAAACAGGAUUAGAUACCCUGGUAGUCCACGCCGUAAACGAUGAGUGCUAGGUGUCACGGGCUUUGACCCUCGUGGU
rnacentral:rRNA from 1 species